UUACCAAGUAAUAGUAUGUGCCGGCCGUUACCUACCUUACCAUUAUUUCUGUGCUCGAGAAAAUAUACAGAAUAUUUUUAAGAUAAAAAAUUAUUAUUUAUACAAAAAUUUGAUUUUAAUUAUAUAUAAUUGAAUAGUUUAAUCUAAUAUUUUGCCCAUAUAGAAAAUGAAGGUGGAAGAGAAGACAUGCGAAACUAAAAAGAUUAGAUAUUUAACUCAUAAGUUAUUUUUCUUCAUAUAAUUAUAAUAUCGUAUUUUGUAUAAUUAUUUUACAUUUUGAACUAUUAGACAUGUUUUUGUAUCAAAUUGCAGAUAAUAUUUUACACAAAUUAAAUUAUUGAUCGUACGAUUUUGAAAAUUUCAAGCGGCUCGUUUA
rnacentral:lncRNA from 1 species